UACAGAGGUCCCAAGCGUUGUUCGGAUUCAUUGGGCGUAAAGGGUGCGUAGGUGGCGCCGUAAGUCGGGUGUGAAAUUUCGGAGCUUAACUCCGAAACUGCAUUCGAUACUGCGGUGCUUGAGGACUGGAGAGGAGACUGGAAUUCAUGGUGUAGCAGUGAAAUGCGUAGAUAUCGGGAAGAACACCCGUGGCGAAGGCGGUUCUCUGGGACGGUACUGACGCUGAGACGCGAAAGCGUGGGGAGCGAACAGG
rnacentral:rRNA from 1 species